rnacentral:lncRNA from 1 species
GCUUGAAAAACAAUACAAUCACUGUGCGUCAAUGAUAAUUAAGCUAUUCUAUGUUCAACCAAUAUGAAUUAUGCGAUAGAGCAUGAGAGCACUUAAUCAUAAAUAAGGUACAAAUUUACAUUCUAACAUCAUAAAGCAACAUAAUUCUAAUUAAUUAGUUACACCGUACCUGUUGUUAAUAGUACUUUUGUUUAAGAAAUUGGCACAUAGCGCACUUGGCAAUUGAAAAAAUGUCAAAUCAGAAUAUUGAUAAUCACCCACUGCAUUAUUCUAUUUUCAGGCUGAAAUAGAAAUAUUUGGUUGGUGAUGGAGAGCCUCCUUUGAGGCACAUUUAUGUUAUUU